GAUGAAGAACGUAGCGAAAUGCGAUAAGUAAUGUGAAUUGCAGAAUUCAGUGAAUCAUCGAAUCUUUGAACGCACAUUGCGCCCCCUGGUAUUCCGGGGGGCAUGCCUGUCCGAGCGUCAUUACAACCCUCAAGCUCAGCUUGGUGUUGGGCCCCGCCGCCCCGGCGGGCCCUAAAGUCAGUGGCGGUGCCGUCCGGCUCCGAGCGUAGUAAUUCUUCUCGCUCUGGAGGUCCGGUCGUGUGCUCGCCAGCAACCCCCAAUGUUUUUCAGGUUGACCUCGGAUCAGGUAGGGAUACCCGCUGAACUUAAGCAUAUCAAUAAGCGGAGGA
rnacentral:misc_RNA from 1 species